rnacentral:rRNA from 1 species
UACGUAGGGGGCAAGCGUUGUCCGGAUUUACUGGGCGUAAAGGGCGCGUAGGCGGCCACCGCAAGUCGACUGUGAAAUCUCCGGGCUUAACCCGGAAAGGUCAGCCGAUACUGCGGGGCUAGAGUGCAGAAGGGGCAACUGGAAUUCUCGGUGUAGCGGUGAAAUGCGUAGAUAUCGAGAGGAACACCUGCGGCGAAGGCGGGUUGCUGGGCUGACACUGACGCUGAUGUGCGAAAGCUAGGGGAGCGAACAGG